rnacentral:lncRNA from 1 species
UGCCAGUUCGGAUUCCCGGUGGAGACAUACACACCGUUUGUCGAGCCAUGCUGUGGCUGCUAUAACACAAUACCACAGAAUGAGUGACGUCAACAAUAGAAAUUUAUUUCCUCACAGCUCUGGAGGCUAGAAGUCCAAGAUCAAGGUGCCAGCAGGAUCAGUUUCUGAUCUUGAGAAAAGGGCCAAAGAAACAGCAGACACCUCAGUCCUGAUAUCCAGAGCCACAAAGCCAACGCCAGCAACCGGGCUUCUCAUUACACAAGAAAAAACAAGCACCUGUCUUGUUUAAGGCGCUGUUACUUGAGUUUUCUGUUUCAUGCACUGAAGUGAAUCCCUGAGACAUCUGUAAAGCUGCGCUAACACAGUGCUGUCAGUUCCUGGAGUCACCCCGCUUACCUGUCUGCAUAAAAGGAUGCACUGCUUCCACACAUGGAUUUUGCUAAAUUUUACAUUUCAGCACCUUAAUAAAAGUCAUUAGGCAAAUCCAAUUUUGUCUAUAUGUGAAAACCUUUUGAGAGAGUGGGUCCCAUAAGAAGAGCACAGCAUCUGUUUAGUGAAAAGGCAAGACAACGAGAGAAAGGAAGGUCGGCGUCCUCAGAGACAGAUUCCUUCACAACAGAGCACUGAAAAGGAAUUAGGC